rnacentral:rRNA from 1 species
UGGGGAAUAUUGGACAAUGGGCGCAAGCCUGAUCCAGCCAUGCCGCGUGGGUGAUGAAGGCCUUAGGGUUGUAAAGCCCUUUCGGCGGGGAAAAGCAACCCGACCUCAUACGUCGGGGAGUUGAUUGUACCCGCAGAGGAAGCCCCGGCUAACUCU